UACGUAGGGGCCAAGCGUUGUCCGGAUUUAUUGGGCGUAAAGAGCUCGUAGGCGGUUCGGCAAGUCGAAUGUGAAAUCUCCACGCUCAACGUGGAGGGUCAUUCGAUACUGCCGUGACUUGAGUACGGUAGGGGAGUGUGGAAUUCCCGGUGUAGCGGUGAAAUGCGCAGAGAUCGGGAGGAACACCCGUAGCGAAGGCGGCACUCUGGGCCGAUACUGACGCUGAGGAGCGAAAGCGUGGGGAGCGAACAGG
rnacentral:rRNA from 1 species